GGAAUAUUGCACAAUGGGCGCAAGCCUGAUGCAGCCAUGCCGCGUGUAUGAAGAAGGCCUUCGGGUUGUAAAGUACUUUCAGUCGUGAGGAAGGNGGUGUCGUUAAUAGCGGCAUCAUUUGACGUUAGCGACAGAAGAAGCACCGGCUAACUCCGUGCCAGCAGCCGCGGUAAUACGGAGGGUGCGAGCGUUAAUCGGAAUUACUGGGCGUAAAGCGCAUGCAGGUGGUUUGUUAAGUCAGAUGUGAAAGCCCGGGGCUCAACCUCGGAAUAGCAUUUGAAACUGGCAGACUAGAGUACUGUAGAGGGGGGUAGAAUUUCAGGUGUAGCGGUGAAAUGCGUAGAGAUCUGAAGGAAUACCGGUGGCGAAGGCGGCCCCCUGGACAGAUACUGACACUCAGAUGCGAAAGCGUGGGGAGCAAACAGGAUUAGAUACCCUGGUAGUCCACGCCGUAAACGAUGUCUACUUGGAGGUUGUGGCCUUGAGCCGUGGCUUUCGGAGCUAACGCGUUAAGUA
rnacentral:rRNA from 1 species